rnacentral:lncRNA from 1 species
AGAGUUUGAGGUCACCCGAGGCUACAUGAGAGCCUGUCUCCAAACAGAAGGUGAAAGUCUGGAAAGCUCCCCACGGCAGAGCCACUGUGGUAACCAGUUACCCGAACCCCUCCCUUCUCCACCAGGCAAGCGCUUUGCCAGCACAGGCAAACCGCCUGCCUCUCACCUGCCGCUUUCUCUAACUCAGGGUUUUUCUUUCUUUUUGUGCCGUAGGUUCCUAAUGGCGGUGCACAAGGCCAGAGUCCCCCCCGGAGCCUCCCAGGAGCCACCGUCGUCCAGCCCGAUUGUCCCCACAGGCCUCCAGCGACACUCAGGCUGGCUGGGCAUCCUCAAACCCACCUGCGAGUUGGGUCCCCACCUCCCCCUCUCCUUCACAGCAUGCUCCCGUGGCUCCGCCAUUCCCUCUGCCUACUGUAUGGCACGGGUGUUUCUCUUCCAAAGCCUCCCACGGGGGCUGUGUGCUUCACUCUGCUCCCUUCCCACACAGGCCACCAAGGCAGCUGGACUUGUGCCCUGUGUCCCCGCUCCUUCUGGGCUCCCAGUCCACCUGCUCACCACCCAGCCACUCCUUGCACAUCUCACACUGUGCCUUUGUCAACCGUCACCGCUGGUUUCCUGGUGACUAACAGAAUCCUGACAAGGGGGGGCCGGCGGUGCAUCAGGUGGACUGAGCGCCCACCUGUCAUCUAUGUGUCUCUCGGGACUCAUUGUCAAAUGCGUCCUUCUCUCCAGAGGCUGCUGCCUCGGGUCCUCCCCACCAUCCAGCACUGUUACCUUCCAUUGCGUCCUUCUCUCCAGAGGCUGCUGCCUCGGGUCCUCCCCACCAUCCAGCACUGUACUUCAGUACUCCAUCCUAGGGGAUCGAUGGUAGGACUGGGGCGCCCAACCCACAUCCACUCCCACUCUGGUUCUAAAUCAUCUACCUGGCCCAAGGAGGUCCGUAUCGAAGUCCCAAAUCCAACUUGUGGGCCAACCCUGCUGUCUUGCCUGGGUCUACCUUCUGUGAGCCUUGUCUGCCUGUUCCCGGUACCCUGUGAUGGAGGGCCUCACACCCGCUCUAGCUCAUUACUGUAAGGCGGGCCUGCCGAGUCCCGUAGGUAGCAUUUGAGGACUCUCCUAUGUUCCCACCAAAGACCUUGUGCCUCCUGUGGUCCCUCUGAUGGCUCUGAACACUGCUUCUGCAUUGGAUCCUAUUCUCCAGAAGCCCCGGAGAAUGGAUGGAGCUUGCUUUUGAAACUGUUUCCCUCCUAGAAUGGUGGAGCUUUUGGGGGAGAACCGAGGUGGUCCUUCGAACCUUAGAGCCGCGCUUUCUCUCCUUUCCCAGUACAAAAGCACUCAAGGCUUGGCCACAAGCCCCCGUGAAGGGCACCCCACAAGCUUGAACUUGAGGAGAUUGGCAUCUUCCUCCAGGCAGUUGGUAGCUUAGCUAACAUCGUCAGAGGAUCAAAGACAUGGGAGUCUUACAAAACCAGAAAUAGGGACAAAGAGGCAGGUUCUCAGGGUCGGGCCUGUGCUUUGUGGAAAUGCAGACAUUCUCCUCUUGUGGCACUGGUGUACCACCCUGCAGAACAGCACUGUCAACCUCACAGCAGAGGAGAGGGAGAGUACCACAGUGGGGAGCAGCCGACAAGGGCCUGACUUUGGGUUUCAAGAGCAAGCAAGGAUUAGUUUUGAGGCAUUCUUCACCCUGCCUUCUCCCAAGGAAGGCCUAGCCCCGGGUCCAACACACUGCCCUCUGGGGCCCCUGUGAGGCUGUUCAGGACUCACAUGAGGAAGACCUAGGGACGGUAUGGAAGCCUGGUGCCUAAGAGUGAAGAUUGUCUCAGCUCUGACACAGUUACUCCACCAGGUUACUGGCCAUCUAUCUCCAGAACCUGUGAUUUUUCACCAAGUUGGGCCGACCACUGUCCCCUCCAUGAGGAGCCAGAGUGGUUUUUACUGGUCUGUUCACAGAUCUCAUUAGUGCAUGAAGGACGGAGAAAGGCUCUUGCCACAAAGGUAACAUGGAGAAGCUGCCAAUCUUCCUCGAAUGACUGUUUAAGCCUGUGCCUGUCUCCCCGCAUCCCCUCACUUCUUUUUUAACUUCCUGUACCACCUACAUCCAGAAAGGAUGGAGGUGAGCGUCUUCAGGCCGUUCCCUGAGCGAGAUGGUCUGCCGUGGAAACCCUGUGGAAUUGUACCGGCUGUGGGGGGAAGGGAAUGCAGGAUUUCCCUAGAAGCGCUACACUCCCUGUCCCCAGGACCCACUGCCUGUCACUCCUAGCUGCUAGUGUGCUGAUACAAGAAUGACUCACUGUAAAAGAACCUGCCCUGCAAAUGACUUAGAGACGAGAAAUAAAAGGAACUUGACAUUUACUGCUUUUUUUUUCCUAUGCAGGAUGUGAAGCCGCAGUGGCUCCUCCCUCUGGGCUGAGCGUACUCAGCCAGUGGGAGCAGCCCAAGUAACACACGGGGAGGCCGCUAAAGCCUUCUGGUGACACCUGUAGUUAUAGUAGAAUGUCCACACGAAGUUUAAAAAACAAAAGUUCCGUUCCUGCCGGUAUUUUUCCAGAAACUGCAGUUUUGUGAUUUUUUUUUUUUUAAUUUUUGUGUCUGUACAUAUAACAUAUGGAGUGUCUCUAAUAAUGGCCCCGACUUCUCUUUUAGCCUGACAUCAAGCACCUUUUAAGUCAUGCCUGUGCGUGUGUGCGUGCGUGUGUGUGUGUGUGUGUGUGUGUGUGUGUGUGUGAGAGAGAGAGAGAGAGAGAGAGCUCGAGCUAGUUCUAAGCCUUGAGGGCGUGGCACUGUUGGAAAGGCCCUCACAGCUGUCAGGUCUUGGACUUGCCUGUGUCUCUGGAGGUGGAAUUAAGACCAAACAAAGAGCUUUCGGUAGAAAAGCUCUCUUACCCUGGUAAUUAAAUGUUAGUCCUUUCGAUGUUAAAUAAAGUAUAACUUCUAGUGUA